GACGAACGCUGGCGGCGUGCCUAAUACAUGCAAGUUGAGCGCUGAAGGUUGGUACUUGUACCGACUGGAUGAGCAGCGAACGGGUGAGUAACGCGUGGGGAAUCUGCCUUUGAGCGGGGGACAACAUUUGGAAACGAAUGCUAAUACCGCAUAAAAACUUUAAACACAAGUUUUAAGUUUGAAAGAUGCAAUUGCAUCACUCAAAGAUGAUCCCGCGUUGUAUUAGCUAGUUGGUGAGGUAAAGGCUCACCAAGGCGAUGAUACAUAGCCGACCUGAGAGGGUGAGCGGCCACAUUGGGACGGAGACACGGCCCAAACUCCUACGGGAGGCAGCAGUAGGGAAUCUUCGGCAAUGGACGAAAGUCUGACCGAGCAACGCCGCGUGAGUGAAGAAGGCUUUCGGAUCGUAAAACUCUGUUGGUAGAGAAGAACGUUGGUGAGAGUGGAAAGCUCAUCAAGUGACGGUAACUACCCAGAAAGGGACGGCUAACUACGUG
rnacentral:rRNA from 1 species